rnacentral:rRNA from 1 species
GACAGAGGGGGCAAGCGUUGCUCGGAAUUACUGGGCGUAAAGGGCGCGUAGGCGGGAUGGCAAGUCGGUCGUGAAAUCCCUCGGCUCAACCGAGGAACGUCGAUCGAUACUGCUGUUCUUGAGGAUUGCAGAGGAGACUGGAAUUCCCGGUGUAGCGGUGAAAUGUGUAGAGAUCGGGAGGAACACCGGUGGCGAAGGCGGCCUUCUGGACAGUGACUGACGCUGAGACGCGAAAGCGUGGGGAGCAAACAGG